GACGAACGCUGGCGGCGUGCUUAACACAUGCAAGUCGAACGGAAAGGCCCUGCUUUUGUGGUGUGCUCGAGUGGCGAACGGGUGAGUAACACGUGAGUAACCUGCCCUUGACUUUGGGAUAACUUCAGGAAACUGGGGCUAAUACCGGAUAGGAGCUCCUGCUGCAUGGUGGGGGUUGGAAAGUUUCGGCGGUUGGGGAUGGACUCGCGGCUUAUCAGCUUGUUGGUGGGGUAGGGGCUUACCAAGGCUUUGACGGGUAGCCGGCCUGAGAGGGUGACCGGCCACAUUGGGACGGAGAUACGGCCCAGACUCCUACGGGAGGCAGGAGUGGGGAAUAUUGCACAAUGGGCGGAAGCCUGAUGCAGCAACGCCGCGUGCGGGAUGACGGCCUGCGGGUUGUAAACCGCUUUCGCCUGAGACGAAGCGUGAGUGACGGUAAUGGGUAAAGAAGCACCGGCUAACUACGUG
rnacentral:rRNA from 1 species